CGAUCAACAGGCAAUCAGAACCU
rnacentral:snRNA from 1 species